CAAGAAGGGAACCUCACACAAGACCUACCUUAAAACUUGCCUUUUCAGGCAGGCUAUAGGAGAUACCUAAGCGUUCUUACAUGACUAAGAGCUGGCAGACCGAGCUGUCCGUCUGAAUGGGUAAUUAAUUCACAUAAGUCUGUUGUGAGAUACAUACAAAAACUACAGACCUAAUUAUUUGCAACAUUCUAAGCAUCUGCCCACCCUCAAUGACUCAAUUGCAAAGAAGGUCUUUUGCAAACAUUGGAAAUGUUGGAGUCCUCAAGAAAAGAUUGUGAGUGGAUUGUGAGUAUCUAAUGGAAAUUCAUAAGUAUGAAGUUAAAAUCAACAUCCCUAAGGAAACCUAAGAGAUUUUCUUGAUUCAUUGGAUGGUUUCACUUUGACCCACGGCAGUCUGUGAGAAAGCACCAGAAGAAACUGCAAACUCAGAAUUUUUUGUAGGACUCAAUGUGAUGACCUUUCAUGCAGUGAAGGUACUGUGAGAACCUGUGGGGACUAUAAUGACAUUAGCAGCUACAAAGGAUAGUCUAGGAGGGUAACCAGAGCGUCCCUUGGACAUGAAGAGCAGUAGAACAAGUAACACAAGGUGUACAUUGCAUUUGUUAUCUGGAUGACAGUGUGUACAGGGAAUUAUUCAGAAAAAUCUUGAAGGAAGCUUGAAGGAAAUUCUGAAGAGAUUUCAAAAUUUACUGAGGAGUUUGUAUGAAUUCAGAAAGAGCUUCUUUACUGCAAGUGGAGUCAAAGCCAGUGAGAUCACGACAUUGUGACAGAAUACCUCAGAACUCAAAGAGUUUAUAAGUGGUCACUUUGAGCUGUCUUCACAAGAUGAAUUUCAGAUAUAUGUGUUUUAAUCAUUCCAAGAUCUGAUUUAAUCCCUGUUUCACUGGUGCAGACUUAUGAGGAGGUCAGAGCAAUGCAAUACACAUCAUUGUCUCCAGUGAUAUGCCUUCUGUGUAACUACAUACAACAUCUUGUGUGUUGUGAGAACGAACAAGACUCAUUGACAGUGCUGGGAAAAAAUUCACUUUGUAAUUUCAUUUUCAGUUUGGGACAGCAUUGAGGAUGGUGUCAUGCCUUUAGGGGACUGUGUGUGAAGAAUUCAUCCCAAAUUCAGUAUUUAUUUUAGACUAUCUGUAGCAUUGUUGUUUUGCUAUAUAGAAGGAAUUUUAUAUGUAUUACUCCUUACCUGACAUCAACAUUUUGUAGCAAGAACAAGAAAUAAAGAGUCUAGGAAAAAACAUAUAUGUAUAUAUGUAAUUCCUUUUCUAACUUAAUUUACAUAAAUGAAUGUCUGUCAUUAUGAAUACACCCAGGCAUGGACACACAGACACGUACAGUUCUAGUGCUCUCAUCUGCCUGCUUAAAGACUAUGAUAGUUGUAUGUGUAGAUAUACCAUACUGGGAAAGGACACUCCCUCUCUUACACUAGGACUGGCAAUAAGAUUUUUAAACAGUAAUCAGAGAUGAGGUAGUAUUUGACAGUCAAUUACACAACACUGAGUGGAAUAUUUUUUUCCAGAAGAGACAGUAUAACUCUUGUACAUGUAAUGGAUGUUAGAGUGUGAAUUUGGUAAUGCUAAGAUGUAAAAAGAAAAAUGCUUGCUUAAACAGAAAGUACUCUAGAAGGAAAAAAUAAAUAGAAGAAUGAAGAAGGUCUUACUUCCUAUAUUCAAGUUAUUUUCCUCCCCUUCUUGAACCAACCAUGUUUAAUCUAGAAAAGUUAGUAUUGGAAAGAAUAUGGGAAAGCAAUUGCAAUCUGGGAGAAAGUGUGGUUUUCCCAUUUGAAAACUCUUCGGGUGAUGUUUCUUCACAGAUAUCAUGUGUGUAGUUUAACUUCUAGCUGAAGUUUCUGGUUAAAAUGUACCUGUUCUGCAAGCUGAUCUUCCCAAAAUUUCAUCACCCUUUUUGUAAGGUUUCAACUGGACCGGGUCCCUGACCUAGCUGUUCACCUGUUUGCACUAAACUAGAAUCCUAAAAUCAUCUAAGUUGAAAAAGACCUUCAGGAUUGUCAAGUCCAACCAGCAACCUGGCUUACUGAAUCCCAUCAUUAAGCCAUCUCACUUUCUGCCAUAUCCAUGCCUCUUAAAUGCCUCUAGGGAUAGGAACAUGCCAAUACAAAGCACAGAGCAGAAAUGUGCUCUGAUUUCUGCAUCUCCAGAUCAGAGAAGCUGAAAUGCCUAGGGACCCUCAUUUGCAAUAUUUCAUCCAUUUAUUUUGGCAACUGGUUGUGAUCAUACAACUCCUUUUUCUGACCAUGGGGAGAAAUGAUAAAUCUUACACUUAAAUAAUGUCUCAUUCACUAAGAACUUUUGUGCAAAGGAGAAAGGACAAAUCCUUAGCUAUUUUCCUCCUUACAGCGCCUCAUUUCUAUAAUAACCAAGCAUUUUCAACAUCAGGUAAAGUACCACCAUAACCACUGUGACCACGGCACAGCCCAAUUAAGCUGCCUUGAUAUCAAGCAGUGGAGACGCGCUCAUAAUCUCAUUUGUUAUCACACUGCUUUCCAACCAAGUGAGCCUGGUUUUUUUGACUGGAGAAAUAGGAAAGUUGUUUCUCAUGCAGUACAGGCUAAUGGUUAGGAAGUUCUUCAAUGAAAUACAGAACUAGCUCAAAUCUUUCAUGCAGGUGAUUGCAUAAAACAUUUCCUGUCUUCCUGAACAUUCCAAAUAUAGCAGCCACUUUGUUUAGCACCCAAACCCAGUGAACUAUCAGUUAUUUGUGAAACUAUGGUUGUAAUGGGUUGAGGAGGGGAAAAAAUAUUUGAAGUGACUUUCAACAAAAGUGGUGAGAUUUUUGCUUAAAAUGCCUCAUUUGAGAGGCCUCAAGGAAUGAUCAGUUUAAAGGUAACAAAAUGAGAAGAUUAAAAAAGCAAUGCUCCCUAGAAGAUGAAAGUACAUCUUCAUUUUGGCAAUGAUUGCAGGUAUUCCCCAGGCAUAGCCAGAGAAUGAAGAUCCAAACUAUCAAGUGUAAUAGGAGACUUACUCUAAUUUAAAAGAGACAGCGAGAAAUUUGGAAUAUUUUCCUGUUACUGUAAUGGGAAGUACAGAAGAAAGUGAUAUGAAAACUGAUUUCCUGGAAUAACAGGAAGAUGUAUUAUGCUUUCAGAUCUUUCAUUCUGUGUUCUGUGAUGAUCAGAUGGGGGAGAUGUGGAAUAAGGAGAAAUUAUUAACAGAAUAAGGAGGGAACAGGUAAGAUGUCAAUUCAUGUCAAUGGAGAGACUUCCACUGACUUGCACUGGCCUUCAGAUUGAGCUCCAAUCAUUUCCUGUAGGUGAAAAAAAUAGUUAUUUGGUGGCUGUUUUUGCAGUUUUAGGUCUAUUAUGUAUCUCAAUGGGCUUAUAAAUCGUCAGUUUUUGCUAUACAAAUGAAAUAUUGUCCAUAUUGUGUGCAACCUACCAAAACAAAAUAAAGAUCUUUGUGUAUUGUGUGUAUAUUUUUUUCCCUUUGUGCCCUGCCUCAGUGCAUGAAAUCAGCAAUAGCUGACCCAAGUGAUUGCCUGUAGCUUUGCAGGUGGCAGUCAUGGUGACUAAGAAUAACUGCCAGCUUCUCUUCACAAGGGAAUGGCCUCAGAACUCCCUGGUGUGAGAGGUGAUGGUGCACUUCCAUUACUAGGACUUGAGACUACGUAAAACAGAACAUGAAUUAAGGGUGAGGGUUGUUCUCAACAAUAUUAUAGUGGAAAAAGAAUCAGUUAUAAUUUCUGUGCCAUCAUUCAAAUUGAUUAUUUUCUUCUUCCUUUAGAAAGAUCAGAAUAAAAGAACACUAUUGAAUAUGCGUAUAUUCUAGUUAAUAAUUCAAUAAACCAUGUCUCAGCCUCAUGUGCAUCUGCUGUAAACAUCAAUAGGGCCAAACCCUCUUGACUUCAUCUAAAUGAAGAGUAUUUCAGUUGGCUUGUUGAGGCUAUUUAUCCCCAGUUUGCCUCAGAAUGUUUUAUAAAGACAAAAUGUAACCUGGUUUGAAUCAGCCGUUUGAACUGGAAGCUCAGACAAAAAGGGAAGAUUCAGUUCUUCGAAGGAAGAAAAGGAAUACUUAAUAUUUUUAUUAUAUGCUUGGAGUUAAAGAAUUGUAGUUAAGAAUUACAUUCUUCUGAUCUGAAAACAAGUCUCUCUUUUUGAACAACAUAAAUGGUACACAGUUUAAAGUGUGUGCUGACUUUGUUUCCUUGCAUCAUAGAUUUUAAAACCAUUUUGUUUUAGCCUGUUUACUUCACAGUUGUCCUUUUCCCCCUGCCUUUUUUUGCAUAAUAUAUUGGUAAGUAAUAAGAAGCAGCACCGCAGCUACAAGUUAAUGGGAAACACAACUGCUUAUUGAACCAGAUCCCCAUUAUUAAUUUAACAACUGAAUACAAACCCUUCUGGCAAUCAGUGCAAUAAUUCUGUUUCCUUGAUUACUUAAGUUUGCCAUUGGCUUCAGUGGAAGCUUAAUCCAACCCUCAGAGGGGAGAAGUGCUGCUUUUUAACACUUGUAAAGAUAGAACAAGCACAAGCCUAGUUCAUUUAUCCUGUAUGCGUUCCUUCUGUCAUCUUUCAUAGACAUAUACAUCUCUCACAUGGUUUUAGGAAGAGAUUUAGACUGUUCUCUUUUUCAUCAUUUUCCUAAUAUUUUAUGACUUGAUUGGAAUGCUAAAUAUCUGAAGUAAAGAAGCUACAAGCAAUUUUUUGUAAGGAAUUAUCAGAGCUCCUAGUAAGUGAAAAAAAAUCCAUCUUUGUCUUGGAACUGUAUUAUUCACUUCUUCAAGCAAGCACUGUAGCGUUCAGAUUGGGUUGCUGCAUAAUGUGACCCGUAGAAACGCGCAUAUUUCAGAGCUGAUCUGAAGAGAGGAGUUGCACCAGAGACUAAUUUGGCCCAAUAAGACUCUAGAGGGCACUCUUGGUAUAGUAAAAGAGAUGUAUAUUUUUCUGACUUAGACAUCUCAACCAAAUACAAUCAGUAUGAAAUGUUACAACAAUUGCCUAAAUGUAUAUGAAAUAUGAAUACCUUUUUUCCUGUAAGAUAACAACUCCCAAUAACAUAAUGCAAACUCAAAAUGUGGCGUAUCUUCCCAAAUUGUUGAGUAAGAUAUCCAUGAGUACAACACAAAAACCAAAAAGCACAAAAUAUUUUGUUUCUCAGUUCUACCUGUUCCAAGCAACUCACAGUCCACAUCAUGCAUUUAAAACUCCAUGCAAAGUCUGCCAGAAGUCCUUUGCGUAGACCGUCAACUAAAAUCCAAUAUACAGCGCAGAUGCAAAUUUAAUGUCACUUUUUAAAAGAUGUGUUUUGCUUUAUAAGUAAUUAAUCUUUAUACACAAGUUUUGACUAUUGUCGGCAGAAAUCAAAAUUGCGUGCCUUCUAAAUUUUUAAUUGAGCAAUUCUUAGAUUAAAAAAAUGCAUUAGUCACUUUGACUAUGUUUAAUAUUUUAGAAGAAGUUGUUCCGCGAGAAAACAAAUCAUUGGUAAUGAAAAACAAUGCGCAGCUUGUAAGUACUUACUGUGCAAACUUUUGGAACAUGUAACCUUUGUUUCUUUGAAGGCAAACAAUAUUGCAGGCUUGUUUCAAAAUGGGAGCUUAGUUCCUGUUUAAGACUUUCAUCCAUAUGUUUCAAAACAUUUCGAAGGGAAAGAGAAUCAUCAUUCCCAUUUUAUGGAGGGGUGUUGCUUUCUCUGUUGCAUACAGCCAACGUUACAAACUGGUCUGUGCAACUGAUGGCAAGUCUCACAAUCUGACCUUGGCCAUUUUGGGCCCCCACGUAAAGAGGACAGAAGGUUUGAAGCAAAGUUGUGCAGAAUGCAAGCUAGCUGCCAUCCCCUACACUUGGCCUUCUUUAUUCUCGACAUAACUAAACUUCUUAGAUGUCUCUGCCUUUGCCCUUGUACAUUUUGAGGGGUGAAGAUCUUUCCUCCUGUGGUUUUUGCUCCAGCCAUAGAGUACUUCCCUGUGUCGGUUCUGCUUGUUUGUUCCCUUGUUUGGGCAGAAUACUGAAACCAGCUGCCUGCCUGCCCUUGGGAGGUGAACCAGGAGUGGGCUCAAAGCCUCCCUGCAGGCUGGGAUUUGUAGCCAAAAAUAUAGCUACAUUCACUUAAAACAUGUUCUGUCAAAAGGAGGUCACAUUAAGAAAAAAUCCAAGCUAGGUACAGGCCUCUUUUUAUCUGGUAAGAAAAACAUUCACCCACAGAAUGAGAGUUGGGAUCUACUCCUUCCUUGGCUGGAAGGUUUUAAACCAACAUCUUGCACAAGUCUGCUCUUCCUAUUUGAGAUGGCAAACUACUUGAAGAGGAAAGGAGAAUGAAAACAGAUUUGUAGGGCUAGAGAGCAAUGAGAAGGAAAACAAGACAUGUAAGGAUUCCUGUGCUAACCAUAAGCACGCUGCAGCUCUCUACCUAUUAGACUAGACAAGAAGUGUUUGCAGAAUAAUUUUGCCUUUACUGUGGCAUUAUUACUAUUUUUAACAGUAUAAAUCUAUUCCUAGUCUGUGCUGGUACAAUGCAUUAAAGAAGCAAUAGUGAUUCAGUAUAUUGGAAAUCUUAUUUUAUUUUCUGCUAGUGGAUGUGUCUUCUGUGACUUUCACUGCUCACUGAAAGUACACAGAGAAGCUUUAUCAAGUUAGAAGUAUUUUUGGUUUGGAUCCAGAUUUCCUCAUGAUCUGUGCUUAUACUGUUACACAGUCCCUCUGAAUCUAUGAUCCAUAAUCUCAUAAAUUAAAAAUAAAGAAACAAAUAAACAAACAAAACACCCCUGCCUCCCAUGCUAUCCUUUGCUUACUGGGAUAUACCUUCAGAAUCCCUCUGAUGCAAAGGGCUCUUCCAGAGAUCUUUUUCUGACAUCCUAUUUCUUAAUUCAAGUUGCCAUUGAUUUUGUGUUAUGCCUAAUUAAGAUUAAUAAAAAAGAGCACAAAGUUUAAAAGAAAAUCAUACUUUCAGAUUUUCUGUUCUCAAUUUCUUGCCAAGUUUACUAAAGCAUCAAGCACAAAUGCUAAGCCUAUAUUUUGAAAGGCAUACAUCAUGUGAAGCAGCUAACUAAUUUUUUCCAUUGAUUUUGUUAUUCUAAAGGGAGCAGCGUUUACUAAAGACAUAGUGCUUUUAAAAUAUAAUCAUUUAAAAAUAAUGCAAGUAAGCUUCUUACAUGCAAGAUUCCUCAAUUUUCCCCAAGAAGGGGAAACCCAGCAGCCUGUGCUGCCCCUGGACAUUUCCUUUGGUGGUACCACAGUAGAAGAGCAAUUGUGCCUGGCCUGGAGUUUGUUGGAACUUUGGUUCUUCUCCAUUGGGUUUGCAGUAGAUGUCAGUUGCCUUCAGCUGUUUCUGCUGCUCUGUUGAGACACAUUGCCUUUCUUUUCCAGUCUUGCUGAAAGAAUUAAUCACGGUAUAUUGAUCUCAAGUGGUGAUUGUAAAUGACAAUGUGUAAUCAAAUUGAUCUAUUUUCCAACAUGCAUUGUUACUGUUACAGUUAUUGGCACUGAGACCAUCCUUCAGCUGACAGCUGUGUUUUGGUGUUUCAUGAUCUCAAAAAGUGUAUCGAGAAGCCUCACAGUAGAAACGUCCUCAAACAUCCCUUCUGUAAAGUUGGUAACACGCACUGAGGAGUCAGACCCCGCUUUAACUUGUUCUCCAAUAUGAAAUGCCAUCCUGCAAAGUUCAGUGCUUGCUGUAGUUGCUGAUGUUGCUGCAUCUUGUUUGUUUGGAAACCAGUGUUUCCAGAAGCACUGUCAGUAUAUUCAGGCAAGAAUGAGUACAGCUUGGCAGAAGUUAGGUAUGAUGUCUAUGUACACUCUUGAUGUACACUAAAAAUUCUUAGCUAUAGGUAUAAUUGCAUUGGCCUUUACAAGGUUUUCACUGGGCAUAACUUUGAAUUCCAUCUCUUCUAAUAUUCAAAACUCACAUGAGUAUAAAUAUAAACAGUGAUGACAGCUUCAUCUCUUGAACAUAGUUUCUUGUCCAGGAAAUGGAAUACUUCCAGGGAGAAAGAAUUUAGAGACUUAGGUCCUCAAUGAGAAAUGGAAACAGAAUACGUGAAGCACCUGACAGCUAUUAUAGGUAUACUCAGGUAUUAACAUGAGCUCAAAAAAGUUGCCGAUUUCACAAAGUCAUUCACACAUUCGGGUGUGCUGAGACCUUGUGCUGUGGCAAUGAACCAAGGAUUUCCCCUUAUAAGCAGAGUAACGAACAAAUAGCCACAGCUGAUGAUAUUCCAGUGUAAAUUGAGAGAGAGGUAAAUCACUGUCAAAUUAAGAAGGUUGAAGGAGUGGUUCAGAAGUUCAGCUCUGCUCUCCGAAAGUGUGAAAACACAGCAUCGAGAAUACAAAUGAAAUCCACAGGGCUCCUCUUAGGGGUCAUUAAUCUUCAUACCAUAGUAAAACGGCAAGCUCUCUCCAAUGCACACUGAGAAAAACUACAAGGAGAUGUUAGUUUUGAACAGUGUAAAACCUCACAAAGGUUUAGAUAUGCUUUCUCUUUAGAUAUGCUGCGGCAAGCCAUUUAAGGGGCUUUCGGGCCAUGCUAGACCUGAAACACAAGGGUUAUCACUGGAACAAAUUCAGGAGACCUCUAGCUGGCUCUUCUCUGUACAAGGGCAACACUGGCUGGCAAAAGGCUAAGGAGUACUCUUUUCAAGUGUAAGAAAACUGUCUCAGAGAAUGAUUAAUUGGGAAGGAGUGGUAAUUCUUCUAUCAUGAACAUGCUCGAGGAUUAGGUGACUUGCUCCUCCUUGACAGGGUGGAAGAUUAUUCGCGGUUGAAAAGACUUGAGUGCUAGCAAGGUCAGCAUUAUUACUUUUGUUAAUCUCAGUGUGGUGCAAUGUUUCUUAUUUAAUGCUUGUUAUUUGUAUAACUUUAUGCUGUGUAAAAAAUAAAAGAGCUACUGCCUAAACUUCCAAUUAUGGUGUGACAGAGAUAAUGUGAAUGGGAUACGGCAGUGGGAGGCUGCCAGCCCUGAUGAAUUCCUUCUUUAUACCUUCUGAUGUUAAGCACUUGUCAUCUUGUUUAUUCUCCAAAAUUACUAAUUACUAAAAUGCAGUCACAUAAAAGCAAAAUGGAAAGACCACCCAAGCACUUCUACAAUUUUCUUUUCUGGUGUAUUCAACGGAUGCAUGAGUUCAAGAUAAAGUAGAGUUGUGAACUCUGCUCCCUACAAGCUCUAUGAUUCAUCAAUGGAGAGCGUUGAGCCUCCAAAGGAAGAGGCAUUUCUACAGCAACAAACAGAUGGCAUUUAUCUUCGACAUAGCUUCAAACUCGAUGUCAAACCUAAAUGUGAUGGCCUGAGCACAGUCAAGUACGCCAUUUAAUUCAUUUUACAGUCCUUUUACUUGUGGGAAGUAAUUCUUAUUUUAACAUUAAAGUGGGUCAAAUAUUCCCUGUAAAAGUGAUCCAAAACAUCCAGUUGUAUACCCUAGUCUUGCAAGAGAUGCCAUAAUUAUAUAUAACCAUUUAUUUCAAUUCCUUACUUGCUGGCUCAAAAUACUGGAAACCAUUAGUAUGUCAUAUGGAGGAGAUCUGAUCUAAGAAUUUUUAACAGUAUUAAUAUCCACAGAAAUUUAUUUUGAACCUGCCCAAAAAUCAGCUUUGUUCGCUGACAAAUCUGAUUUUUAUGUACAUUCAAAAAGGUUGGUUGAACAAUAAACAAGGCACCUAUGGCUACUCCUUGUGACAGCACAGCAGAGAAGCUGGAGGCCUGGGAUGCACAGCAAGCAGCACUCCAAGCCUAAUGACCGUAAGAGAGAGUACAACCUGUUUGAUAUUCCAUUAAAUCAAAGCAGGAGUAGCUGAUAUGUUAAUGAGGCCAACUAUUAUAGACAGAAAAAUCUUUGCUUUGCUCUUGGUUUUUAAUUACUGUCCUGGGACAGUGACCAGGAAGAACAUGCGUACAUCCUUCUCCUCUAUCCCAGUACCAUCAGGGAGAUAACAUUUUCUAAUUUUGAAGGAAACACAAUAAGGGACAAUAAAAAUAACAUCUACAUUUUCCACAUUCUAGCUUAAAACACUUCUACUGAUUACUAAGAUCUAUGCAAUUGGUUAUUUUGCAUUUUUUUCCCAGUAUAUUAAAAUCAUUUUAAGUCUGCUGCUAUCUUUGGAUUCACUUUCAUUAUUCAUCAUUUAUUUAUUGUCAACUUUUCCUCAUUUCUAAGCUGUUGCAUGAUGGGAUUCUUGGUGUUUCUUUCUUUAACAGCUUUUUUUCACCGUUUUUCCCUGCAAAAUUUGGUUGAACCCAAGACUUGGUAUUUCAAUAGUUAUGUAAAAUAGGGAGAAAAGAGAUACAAGGGCUGCUCUGAAAGUAAUGGCUCCUGUUUUAAUUUGUUGGUCUACAAUUUCAGAGGCAGAUGUUGGUGGUAAGGCAGUAGAGGUUGAAUAAUCCACUACAUGUUGCCAUAUGACAGCAGAAAGCAGUCUGACACAAUGGUGUCUGACGUGGAAAUGUGGAUGAAGUAAAGGUGUGUCAUUGAAUUCCACUACAUGGAAAAAAUGGCACUCACUGACAUUGAUAAAUGUUUGCUGAACAUUGAUGGAGACCAAAUAGCAGAUGUGAACAUAGUGAAGUGAUGCUGUGUUUCAGCAGUGAUGACAGUGACAGUGGUUCACCUCUGCUGGUGCAGAUUCUUACAAGUGUGGCAUGCAGGCUCUUGUUCAUCACAGGCAAAAAUGCAUAGCUAGUGGUGGUGGCUAUGUUGAAAAGUAUUGUUUUGUAGCUGAGAUUUGAUCUAUUAUACAGUGUUAUUGUACUCUUUGUAUCUGCAGUAGUUCCCGUGAAUGCGAGGCAUUACUUUUGAAGUGACCUACAUAGCUUAUAAUGUCUUCACUUUAGAGAAGUGUUGCUCAGAUGCUUUUUGUCCUGAAUGAGUUUUAUUUUCUUUGAACUACGGCAUAAAAUUUGGGGUCAAUCAAGUUUCCGAAGGAAGAGAAUUCUGCAUUAAGAACAUGAAUUUUUCUUUUUGCCUCAGAAAGGCUUUUAACGCUUCUGUGCCGUUGACAAUAAAAUAUGGAGCAAAAGGGUAGGAACAUUUAAUAUACUGGAGCUGAAACUAAAACUUGGACAACGAAGCAUGAAGUAUGCUUGAUAUCACAGGGAAAUAUAAUUAACAAAUAGGUAAGACAGAGGAAGUAUGUAAAAGAACAAUAUUUAUGAAUAAAAGUAUGCCAUGAUGACUGAAUCUUGAGGAGGACAAAAUUAAUGAUGGAAUGCAUUUAUGAAGAAAUCUGUUACAUCGUGUAUGAUGAUCAGAGCACCUAGGGAUGUAUCAUAAAAAUCUCUUUCCUCCUCUGAAAUAUUUCAAAAGCGAUACAUAACUGGACUGCAUGUAGAAUACUGAGGGCUUUUGAGAUAUGGGAAUUGAAAGUAUUAUAAAUCAAUUAAAAAUUACAUUCAUUACACCGUACUACUUGAUAGUGUGAUAUACUUGCAUCUUUUAAAAGAAGAGUUCAUUUCUGUUUUCAGUGACAAGCUUUUCUUAAGGAGAAACCAUAACAGCAAGAGAAACAUAAGGAGGUUCUAUAACCUUGUAAUCACACUUGUCAUACACAGUGUACUAUUUUCCUUCUUUAUAGCAGAAAUGCUCAGAAGUAAUAUAUAGUAGAUGCUUCAAAUUAUGUUUUCUGUGACAGAAGUUAAUUCUAAAGUAAGUAUUCCCUGAAAGAGAAACAGAGAAAACAUUUUUACAUGUCUGUCAUUUGUCCUUAGAGGACACAAAACAAAUAUGUUUUUUAAAGCUUGACACUGGUAUUAUUCUGUGUGGCCUCCGGCUAUGUGCUUUUUCCAGUUUGUAGAAUUGAAAGGACAAAAAAACAGCUUUGCAUUAAGAGGAACACAUUGUACAGGUUAAUCAUAACCAUGCAGAAAUCAAAAUGCUGCCAACAAAAUAAUGGCGAACCAGCGCCAAGGGAAUCACCGAGAUGGCUGUGAGGGAAGCAAUGGGAUAACAGCAACUCCUUUGCAUUGUGCAGAAGUAUUUCAGGCAUGUGCUCCCGAAUUUAUUAUUGAUGUGGCUGGAACAGAAGUUUUUACUACUGUCGACAAUAGCAAAUACUCGUAAAAAUUUAAUUGGAUAAAAGUUAAUUUCAGUGUUCCUCAAUGAUGAAAUGCAUUAAUUGCAAGGAGAUUUUUCUUUUUGCAUGUUUAAAUUUUAAAAGGAAAUAAAGUAGAAAAGCAGAAUCAGGCAGGGGAAUUUAACAAAUGUAAAGAUGUUGACGGGAGUGAGAAUCAUUACUUAGUCAAUAUUGUAUCAAUUAACCAAAUUAACCAUAGUCCCUGGUGAGAACUACAUAGAACGGCACAAUUUUCUAGUUUGUCUGAGUCAUUCAUGUUGUAUGUAAUGUAUAUCUACAUUAGUGUAUACAAAUAAGACAAACUAAGAAGCAGUGCCACAUAAAAUCAUAGAAUUGCUCAGGUUGGAAAAGACCUUAAAGAUCAUCGAGUCCAACCACAACCUAACCAUACUACCCUAACUCUAACAACCCUCCGCUAAAUCAUGUCCCUGAACACCACCUGCAAAAGAUUUUUGAACACAUUCAGGGAUGGUGAUUCAAGCACCUCCCUGGGAAGCCUAUUCCACUGCUUAACAAACCUUUCUGUAAAGAAGUUCUUCCUGAUAUCCAACCUAAACCUCCCCUGGCGCAACUUGGGACCACUUCUCCUCAUCCUGUCACCUGUCACCAGUGAGAAGAGACCAACCUCAUUCUCGCUGUAAGCUCCUUUCAGGUAUUUGAGCAGAGCAAUAAGGUCUCCUCUCAGCCUCCUCUUCCCCAGAAUCAGUCCCAGUUCUUUCAGUCUCUCCUCAUAGGGCAUAUUCUCCAAGCCCUUCACCAGCCCUGUUGCUUUUCUUUGGACCUGCUCCAGCACCUCAAUGUCCUUUCUAUACUUAGGUGCCCAAAACUGAAGACAGUGCUCAAGGUGAGGCCUCAUCACUGCUAAGUACAGGAUUACUUCCCUAGUCUUGCUUACCACACCAUUCCUGAUUCAAGCUAAGAUGCCAUCGGCUUUCUUGGCCAUCUGGGCUCACUGCUGGCUCAUAUUCAGCUGACUGUCCAUCAGUAUCCCAAGGUCCCAUUCCAUCAGGCAGCUUUCCAGCCACUCCUCCUCAAGCCUGUAGAGUUGCCUAGGGUUAUUGUGAUCAAACAGCGGGACACGGCACUUGGCCCUAUUGAAACUCAUACAGCUUACCUUGGCCCAUCUAUCUAGUCUAUCCAAGUCCCUCUGUAGUGCCUUAAUACCCGCAAUCAGAUCAACACUCCCUCCCAACUUGGUGUCAUCUGCGUCUUACUGAGGGUGCACUCAAUCCCCUCACCAAGAUCAUUAAUAAAGAUGUUGAAUAGGAGUGGCCCCAGUACCAAACCCUGGCGGACACCACUCAAGACUGGCUGCCAAGUGAAUUUAACUCCAUUGACCAAAACACUUGGGCCCAGCCAUCAAACCACUGUUUCACCAAGCAGACAGUACGCCCGUCCAAAAGCCAUGGCAGCCAGCAUCUCCAUGAAGAUGCUGUGAGGGACAGUGUCAAAGGCUUUACUAAAGUCCAGACAGACUAUAUCGACAGCCUUACCUUCAUCCACUAAGUGGGUCAGCUUGUCAUAGAAUGAAAUCAGAUUUGUCAGACAAGAUCUACCACUCUAAAACCCAUGCUGACUGGGCCUGAUUGCCUGGUUGACCUUUAAUUGGUACGUGAUGGCUCCAAGAUUAUCUGUUCCAUAACCUUCCCCGGCACCAAGGUGAGACUAAUAGGUCUGUAGCUACCAGGAUGAUCUUUCCAGCCCUUUUUGAAAAUGGGCAUCACAUCUGCCAGUCUCCAGUCCACUGGGAUAUUCCUGGUUAGCCAGGACUGUCGAAGAACGAUGGAGGGUGGCUUGGCAACCACAUCUGCCAACUCCCUCAGCACUCUAGGGUGCAGUCCCAUCUGGCCCCAUGGACUUGUGAGUGUCCACUUUCGGAACAGAUCCAAAACCAUCUCAUCAUGGAUUAGGCAGGGCCUGUUCUGCAUGUAGAAGAUGUAGAAUACAUUCUAGAUGUAGAAAAUGUAGAAAAUGUAGAACUAGAAAAAUAGUAACUGCAAAAAUUUUUAAGUGUAAUAAAUCCAUUGAAUAUUAACAUAAUCAGAGGUUGUGACAGGCUGUGACUGGUGACAGUUACUACUUUGAAAGGACAGGGAUUAGUCUGGUCCCAGCUCCAAGCAUUCCAGAAGAAUAUGAGAGAUUCACGUGCACAGUUUGUAAACCAACAGCACCCAAAGCCGUUGGUAGAAGUACUUACAAAUGUUUGAUUUAACUGACCAGGGUAUAACUAUACCCAAAUAAGAAAAAUGAACAUGAAAAAGGCUUUGUGGAGUCAGGUUGAGACAUAGCUGCAAAAAUAAUAAUUUUAGGCAAUAUUGGCACUAAGAUUUGAAUUCAGUGUAGUUGGACAGCAUAGUAUAGCAAUACUUAAAUAAAUGAAAUGGAAAACAACACAUAUAUACUGUGGGACAAAGUCUAUAAAAGAUCUUAUCUUCAUUUACUCAGCUUAUAUUUUUAGCCCUGAGCAUGUAACAUCUCUGUACCUCUGAGAAGCUGUUAAAAAGAAUAUGUUGAGAGGGGGCAACAUAAAAGAUAACAACAUGCAAUUUUAAUCGCUGGAGUAACAGGACAGCCUUUAGUUCCCUGGAAUAUAGGGACUUGUCAGUAACCCAGAAAAAGCUCAUAUAUUUCUUACGCUUUCCAACUGUCUGAAUACAGCAAUAAAAUCACAGAAAAGCCAGCGGUAACCUGAGAAAGCCCUCCAAAGUCCUCAUACAAGAUACAGGGGCUGGGGAAGCUUCCUUCACACUGGAAACUGUAGAGGAGAACUGAAACAAAGUGCUCGCAAUAAUACCGUUUGAUUCUCCAUAACUUUCAUAUUUUCUCUUUCUUGACAGCAGCAAAAGUGAAACACUUCAGUGACCAAUAUUGCUAGCAUACAGGCACAUCUGUGACACACCAUCACUGUUGUAUGAUAUGAGAGCAUCUAAUUAAGAAGCUUGUAAAAUUGACCUUCAGUUAUUUUAAUAUUAAAAGACAAAGAUAGAGGAUGUUUCUUGAAAACUGACAAUCCUAUCAUUUCCUUACUGAGGUUCCUCUGUCAAAAAAAGAAAAAAAUAAUAUAUAUAUAUUUUAUUAUAUAUUAUUUUAUAUUAUAUAUAAUAUAUUUUAUUUUAUAUAUUAUUAUAUAUAUAUAUAAUAUAAUCACACAUGAAAAAGCUGUUCAAGAAACUAAAAGCACAUUUCAGGUACGAGUUUUACGUAUUAGUAAUGACUCCACCCCCUAAUGCCAUAUUUGUUUGUAGUGACUAUGGUCACUUAGCAGGUGCCACAAAGUUCCUUCUUACUGUAGCUUAGAUUCAGAUCAAUUACAGCAAUGUACUGAAGUAAAUUUGUUCAUAGUACUUGGUCAGACUUCAGUGCAGUUUCAUUAGCUUUCAUCCCAUCGUAUGGACACUUUUGCACAUGUAAGAGCUAAAAAAUUCAGAGGACCAUAAUCUUUUGCUCAUAAGGUUUCCCCAAUAGUAAUAACACAAGAUAACUGGAAUCUCAUUAAAAAUAUGAACUCUUGAAAAUAAACCAGUAUGAGGUUUAGGAACUCUGGGAGCAGAUUUUUCUACUGUUCUUAUGAAAAGGCUACAAUACACAGCCAGCAGCAAAAGUAUUAGGCAGAAUGUGUUCCUGUUAAACUGAGGUUGGAUUUCUGAAGGAGCUUUUUUAUCUAGAAGCUUAAGAUUUGGUCUAAAAAGGCUGCUUCAUGGGUUAAUGUAUUCAUCUAUAAAUAAAAGCAGUGACAGCUCUCCUGUCAGUACAUGCUGAUGGACGGUUCCUUUUUCUACCAUUACAGCCUUGUGAAUGUGGGAAAAUUAAUUUAAGUGGUAGUUAAUUUCUAAUGAAUUCCAUUCAAGCGGUUAAUAUGGUCCCUUGAUGUUAUGGUAACCUUCAUGGAUCAUUGCAUUAUGUAAAUAAAUUCUACUUUAUGCUGGUUUAUAAAAAAAAAAAAAAAAAAAAAAAAAAAAAAAGAAAAAAGAAAAAAAAAGAUUGGUGAGUCCAGCCAAAUCUUUGCAUAUACAAACACGCAUAAAAUUUAAA